UAGUGAUGAAACCUAAACUGAAAGCUGGAAUUACCGUCAGAUUGUUCAGUGUUGAUAUUUCAGGUUCCUGAAU
ensembl:snoRNA